rnacentral:rRNA from 1 species
CUGUCUUUUUUUAAAUAAUGUUUUAAUUUAAUUUUUAAGUUAAAAAGCUUAAAUUUUUUUAAAGGACGAGAAGACCCUAUAGAGUUUUAUAAUAAAAUUUUUAUAUUAUUUUAAAUUUAUUUUAUAAUUUAUUUAUUAUUUUAUUGGGGUGAUAAAAAAAUUUAAUAAACUUUUUGAUUUUUUUUAACAUUGAUUUAUGAAUUUUUGAUCUUAAAAUUUAGAUUAUUAGAUUAAAUUACCUUAGGGA